CCUACGGGAGGCAGCAGUCGAGAAUCAUUCACCAUGGGGGAAACCCUGAUGGUGCGACGCCGCGUGGGGGAAUGAAGGUCUUCGGAUUGUAAACCCCUGUCAUGUGGGAGCAAAUUAAAAAGAUAGUACCACAAGAGGAAGAGACGGCUAACUCUGUGCCAGCAGCCGCGGGAAUACAGAGGUCUCAAGCGUUGUUCGGAAUCACUGGGCGUAAAGCGUGCGUAGGCUGUUUCGUAAGUCGUGUGUGAAAGGCGCGGGCUCAACCCGCGGAUGGCACAUGAUACUGCGAGACUAGAGUAAUGGAGGGGGAACCGGAAUUCUCGGUGUAGCAGUGAAAUGCGUAGAUAUCGAGAGGAACACUCGUGGCGAAGGCGGGUUCCUGGACAUUAACUGACGCUGAGGCACGAAGGCCAGGGGAGCGAAAGGGAGUAGAGACCCUUGUAGUC
rnacentral:rRNA from 1 species